rnacentral:rRNA from 1 species
UACGGGAGGCAGCAGUGAGGAAUAUUGGACAAUGGUCGGAAGACUGAUCCAGCCAUGCCGCGUGCAGGAUGAAGGUCUUAUGGAUUGUAAACUGCUUUUGUAAGGGAAGAAUAAGGGCUACGCGUAGUUUGAUGACGGUACCUUAUGAAUAAGCAUCGGCUAACUCCGUGCCAGCAGCCGCGGUAAUACGGAGGAUGCGAGCGUUAUCCGGAAUCAUUGGGUUUAAAGGGUCUGUAGGCGGGCUGGUAAGUCAGAGGUGAAAGCGCUCAGCUCAACUGAGCAACUGCCUUUGAAACUGUUGGUCUUGAAUGGUUGUGAAGUAGUUGGAAUGUGUAGUGUAGCGGUGAAAUGCUUAGAUAUUACACAGAACACCGAUAGCGAAGGCAUAUUACUAACAAUUAAUUGACGCUGAUGGACGAAAGCGUGGGGAGCGAACAGGAUUAGAUACCCUGGUAGUCCACGCUGUAAACGAUGGAUACUAGCUGUUUGGUUUAAGGAUUGAGUGGCUAAGCGAAAGUGAUAAGUAUCCCACCUGGGGAGUACGUUCGCAAGAAUGAAACUCAAAGG